CAGUAGCCGCGGUAAUACGAAGGGUGCACGCGUUAAUCGGAAUUACUGGGCGUAAAGCGUGCGUAGGCGGUGAGUUAAGUCUGCUGUGAAAUCCCCGGGCUCAACCUGGGAAUGGCAGUGGAUACUGGCUCGCUAGAGUGUGUCAGAGGAUGGUGGAAUUCCCGGUGUAGCGGUGAAAUGCGUAGAGAUCGGGAGGAACAUCAGUGGCGAAGGCGGCCAUCUGGGACAACACCGAUGCUGAGGCACGAAAGCGUGGGGAGCAAACAGGAUUAGAUACCCCCGUAGUCCCUGUCUCUUAUAC
rnacentral:rRNA from 1 species